rnacentral:rRNA from 1 species
GUGGGGAGCAAACAGGAUUAGAUACCCUGGUAGUCCACGCUGUAAACGAUGGGCGCUAGGUGUAGGUGGUUAGUAGCCAUCAGUGCCGAAGCUAACGCGUUAAGCGCCCCGCCUGGGGAGUACGGCCGCAAGGCUGAAACUCAAAGGAAUUGACGGGGGUCCGCACAAGCGGUGGAGCACGUGGUUUAAUUCGAUG